AAACUUUCAACAACGGAUCUCUUGGUUCCGACAUCAUGAAGAACGCAGCGAAAUGCGAUAAGUAAUGUGAAUUGCAGAAUUCCGUGAAUCAUCGAAUCUUUGAACGCACAUUGCGCCCCCUGGUAUUCCGGGGGGCAUGCCUGUCCGAGCGUCAUUG
rnacentral:rRNA from 1 species